AAAACGAGCAAACGGUUUCAAAUUUGAUUUUUUUUGCAUAGCGGAUUUUUAUCGUCUAUCUCAUUCAUACACGCUCCCGAACAAUGGUUGUCGCAGUCACACAUGUCCAAAACGAAAUUUAGGUACGAAUUUUUUUUAUAUUUUUUGCAAUAAAAACACUUUUUGGGAAUUAAAUUUUUAAAAAACCACUUACACUAAUUAUCACUAAGUAAUCGCAAUAGCACUGGCUUAAGAGAUUAUAAGCAAAAUCAUCGCUAGAAAUAGCACUUGCACCUGUUGUUUACAUUUGAACAAUUUUUUUUUGCACACACUACCCGGCUACACGAAGAACUAAAGUGGGUUCGUUUCGCAUAUUCCAUAUAUAUUAUCUGAAAAACGCGAAGCCCUGUAACCGUAUGGGCUUUUGUUAUUAAAUUUAUUCUAAUUGAAUGAAUAUUUUUUGAAUUCGAAUAGAAAAUUUGAAACCCACUUGACACCGACCGACGACGACGAACGCUUCCAAUUUAUGUUCUUUUUUGUAUGGCUGUUUGCAAUUCCUAGUUGUAAACAAGGUUUAACUACCAUCUCGCUUUAAAGCUAGGAUAGGUGCACUGCUCCUACUAAAAGGAGAUCUUUAGUCUUAUGCGUGUGUAGAGUGUUAUGUUUUCCCUUUUUUUUACGUAAAUGUCACUCGACAGCACUAUAAUUGAGUGACAUUCACCACUCCAUUUAUAGGAUGUAUCGGUGAUGGAAAAUCGCAACUUUGUUGCCGCAUCAUAUGGCAACAGAUUCAUGUUGCAUAACAGGGUUUGAAUGCAAGUUAAGGAACAACAUUGUAUGAGUAAUAAAACCUGGAGCUUUUCACCCACAAGUGCAUUAUGAAUAAUGGUUGUAGGUCUAAGAAGAAACAAAGGCUGGAAAAGUAGGAGUAGGUGUGUGGGUGUUUAUAUAGGGUCCAUAAAGAAAAAGCGUUGGUAGGAGGUUUCUUUUUUAACCAAGACACCCCAGAGACAAGUCGAGCAGCAGAAAUCCUAUUACCAUACUCACCCAGAAAAAGACUGGCCAAUCGGUUAUUUCGAAGUCAGAUAGGAAAUUUAAAACUUUGUUUGAAAGAAAUUAGGACGAACGUCCCAUUAUACGAGGGAGAAUAGAUAUAUAUAAUCAUAUAUAUUUAUAUAUAUAUACAUAUAUAUUCCACCACAUUCCCUAAAAGGAAUAAAAUCAUUAAACCGCCUAAGCUAGGUCGUCAAAAUAAAAUUUGGCGGCCUGAACAAAGGGACCAAAGGGACCUAAGGGAACAAAGGAAUACCUAUCCUUAUGACGGUACAGGAAGUGGUAGCAGAAAAGAAAAGUUAAAGUUCAACAAGGCAUAAGACAACGUCAAUUUUUAAAAUUUGUUUUAAUUGCAAAAGUGCAUAAAGUGAUUUUUAUAAAUUAGUUAAUUUAGUAAAACAAAAAAAUUUUAAUUUU